UACAAAACUUAUGUUUAGUUUUGUCUGUAACUUAAAUAAACUUCCAUUGUGUUUUAAAGAAAUCAAUAAAUAGGAAUAUGUUUAAUUUCUUCAAAUAAAUGGAAUUCAAUGCCAUAUAUGAUUUUAUAUUUAAAUGCAUAUUAUACAUCUUAAAUUUUCUUUUUUACAUAACAUUAAAUCUGAGCUUAUCUCACAGUAUGUUAGAUUAACUUUAUAAUAGAUAAAGCACAAAAAUAUUUCCCCCAUAUUUUUAUAAGUAUUCAUUUGAGUGUCAUUUUACUCAUUAGUUAUAAGUAAAAUGUGUUAUGGAUUGUGCAAAUGUGAUAUAAUCAAAACAUUUUCUUUUCUUUGUCAGAAUGUCCACCAUUUAAAAACAGAGUGUAUGCUUGUCAUUGAUCACAAAUAAUUAAAAGUUAUGGUCUGGGAAAAGUCUAAAAUACAGCAUAAUUUGAGAAUUUUUUAAGGCUUUAUUGAAGCAUUUUAAAUUAUUUUAACUAUUUUUAAGUGUAAACAGAUUGAGAUUGAAAUAUGCUACUUUUUUACUAUUUUCUCUCUGUAUUUGAAACGUAACUGAUAUGAAAUGUAAUUGUUUUUAUAUUGUCACACAAAUGUAAUAUUUUCUUGAUUGUUUUAUUUUAUUUUUCUUAAAUUUUUCAGAAAUGCAGGAAGAAAUGGCCCCUGCCAUUAGUGGUUACUGAUUGAAGCAAACACAAAAAAGAAAAUUCCCUGCUUGGGUUACCAACAUAGUAGCUGGGAUUGAAAAAAGGCAUCGAGAGAAGAU